CUAAGCUAGUGGGGGCAAAGUUUCAGUGCAUUCCGUUGAUGUAGACGGCGUGGAAACGGAAACAACAAGUAUGCUGGCUCACUGUGCUGCAUACAGUUACACACUGCGUCAUACGAUUGAGACAAGGAAACUUGGAGUGACUUUUCAUAGGUUUCCCAGAGACUAUGGGUUGAAGAGGAAUUGGAAGUUUGUCGGCUUAGACCUGGUGUCAUUCCAUCAGUGUUAAACUUCCCGGCUCAUCUUGGAAGAGUACGUGCCAGAAAGACCACGACCAAGCAGCCUUGAGAUCUUAGACAGUGUCUCCCUCAGGUCCCUCUCUAUCUCCCCACACAUCCACCAACCACUGGAACACAUCUCCAAAGUUCUGCUGGGCCAGCUCAGCUUCCCCUCAGAAGAAGUUCCACCACCUGCCAGAUGAAGGAGCCUUUUGAGAGGCAGCUGGCAUUGUGAUUGGACUGUACUUUGGUCUGUUCCAAUCCAGCUUCAGCUCCAGAGACGGCAGGCGGGACGAGUCAACGGAGGCCGGGUGGACGAAGGCAUGCAGCUGAGUACAAUCCAGAAAACAACAGAGGAGUGCAGGGCCAGAACAAACAGAGUAGCAUCGUAUGUCUCUUAGAAAACAUCAUAGUAGAGCCUUUGGUAUGAAAAAAUGGCAUAAUAUACAUCGUAUGUUGUACAAAUAACAAGUCAAAGGAAAGAGACAUACAUUGUAGAAUUGUAGUAAUUGUGGGCUGACUGAUUUACUGAUUAUCAGUAUUUUUUACUGAUUUACGGUAAUAAAUACAUUUAAAAUGGUGCUACUUUGGCUCUGAACCUUUAUCUACCUGUGUCUGCUCUGUCUUCUGGAGUGAUUUGAUUGGUUAUACGUCACAAA